GUGUGUAUUUUGUGAAAUGCUA
rnacentral:miRNA from 1 species